UGUUAACACAUUUUUGGUAGGCUGGGACAGUGACAUGUCUACUAUUUUACAUCUACUGCCAUCAUCUGCGCAAGUUCGAAAAAGGCCAGGAAAGAUGUCUGCAUCUCAAGAUGUACAUCAGCUCAUUAAAUUUCAAAAGACUGGAAUCAGUGUGCAGCAGCAUUUAGACAACAUCACCCAGCCAGCCCUACCUUCUUGCUGUGGGAACCACACCAAGCAGCAUUCACCACUACUUCAUUGUGAUCGACAAGCAUGCACUUCCUUGCAAGGCAUCUAGUUCUGUGGGAGUCUUUGACAAACUCUUGAAGGCUCAUUAUGGCCUGUAUGUCAUACAGUUCCUCCUUGACCAACUUUUUUACUUUUGUGCAAACUACCAUCUACAACAUUGACAUGGGAGAAACAUAACACGCUCACUUACCGCCCACAUUUGAUUGUCUGUGGCAGAAUUGAAUCUAAAAUGCCCCUGUUUUUGGAGUUUGUUUAUUGUAUUGUUUUGAUUAUUGUUCUGAUUAUAGAUAGAAAACUGUUAUUGCUUACUGUGCCUUUAAUUCCAAUUACUUUUCAAGAGCAUCUCCAUGCAUAUGAAGUGAGUAGGUCAAAGCAUGAUUUUGUUCACUUUCAUGUGGACAACCUGCAAUAUCCUAGGCCUUUUGACCUACAAAGGUCAUGUGGAGUGAAUAACUCUUCAUUAUUCAUUGUCCCAUAUUGCUUUCUUUUGUAAGCUUUCAUUUU